rnacentral:rRNA from 1 species
ACGCGUAUGCAACCUACCUUAAACAGGGGACCAGCCUCUCGAAAGAGAGAUUAAUACCGCAUAACAUAUAUUUAGAGCAUUCUAGAUAUAUCAAACCUACGGGGGUUUAAGAUGGGCAUGCGUGACAUUAGCUAGUUGGUGAGGUAACGGCUCACCAAGGCAACGAUGUCUAGGGGGUCUGAGAGGAUGUCCCCCCACACUGGUACUGAGACACGGACCAGACUCCUACGGGAGGCAGCAGUAGGGAAUAUUGGUCAAUGGAGGCAACUCUGAACCAGCCAUGCCGCGUGCAGGACUAAGGCCCUAUGGGUCGUAAACUGCUUUUGAAUGGGAAGAAAUGUAUCUACGUGUAGAUAUUUGACGGUACCAUUAGAAUAAGGAUCGGCUAACUUCGUGCCAGCAGCCGCGGUAAUACGAAGGAUCCAAGCGUUGUCCGGAUUUACUGGGUUUAAAGGGUGCGUAGGCGGACUCAUAAGUCAGUGGUGAAAGCCUUCAGCUUAACUGAAGAACUGCCAUUGAAACUGUGAGUCUCGAGUUCGGUUGAGGUCAUUGGAAUGUAACAUGUAGCGGUGAAAUGCAUAGAUAUGUUACAGAACACCAAUUGCGAAGGCAGAUGACUAAACCGAAACUGACGCUGAGGCACGAAAGCGUGGGGAUCAAACAGGAUUAGAUACCCUGGUAGUCCACGCCCUAACGUUGAAUACUC